UGUUGGGUAGGGGAGCGUUCUGUAAGCCUGUGAAGGUGUGCUGUGAGGCAUGCUGGAGGUAUCAGAAGUGCGAAUGCUGACAUAAGUAACGAUAAAGCGGGUGAAAAGCCCGCUCGCCGGAAGACCAAGGGUUCCUGUCCAACGUUAAUCGGGGCAGGGUGAGUCGACCCCUAAGGCGAGGCCGAAAGGCGUAGUCGAUGGGAAACGGGUUAAUAUUCCCGUACUUGGUGUUACUGCGAAGGGGGGACGGAGAAGGCUAUGUUGGCCGGGCGACGGUUGUCCCGGUUUAAGCGUGUAGGUGUGUGUUCCAGGUAAAUCCGGUUCACUUUAACACUGAGGCGUGACGACGAGGCACUACGGUGCUGAAGCAACAAAUGCCCUGCUUCCAGGAAAAGCCUCUAAGCAUCAGGUAACAUCAAAUCGUACCCCAAACCGACACAGGUGGUCAGGUAGAGAAUACCAAGGCGCUUGAGAGAACUCGGGUGAAGGAACUAGGCAAAAUGGUGCCGUAACUUCGGGAGAAGGCACGCUGACAUGUAGGUGAAGUGAUUUACUCAUGGAGCUGAAGUCAGUCGAAGAUACCAGCUGGCUGCAACUGUUUAUUAAAAACACAGCACUGUGCAAACACGAAAGUGGACGUAUACGGUGUGACGCCUGCCCGGUGCCGGAAGGUUAAUUGAUGGGGUCAGCGCAAGCGAAGCUCCUGAUCGAAGCCCCGGUAAACGGCGGCCGUAACUAUAACGGUCCUAAGGUAGCGAAAUUCCUUGUCGGGUAAGUUCCGACCUGCACGAAUGGCGUAAUGAUGGCCAGGCUGUCUCCACCCGAGACUCAGUGAAAUUGAACUCGCUGUGAAGAUGCAGUGUACCCGCGGCAAGACGGAAAGACCCCGUGAACCUUUACUAUAGCUUGACACUGAACAUUGAGCCUUGAUGUGUAGGAUAGGUGGGAGGCUUUGAAGUGUGG
rnacentral:rRNA from 1 species